GACGAACGCUGGCGGCGUGCCUAAUCCAUGCAAGUCGAACGCAGUUGCGAACGGGUGAGUAACGCGUCUGUAACUACCCCAUAGCGGGGGAUUACUAUUUGAAACGAUAGCUAAUACCGCAUACUAUGCGAUCGACCUGCGUUGUAUUAUGUAGUUGGUGAGGUAAACGCUCACCAAGGCCACUAUACAUAGCCGACCUGAGAGGGAGAUCGGCCAAAAUGGGACGUGGGACCGGCCCAAACCUCUACGGGAGGCAACAGUAGGGAAUCUUCGGAAAUGGACGGAAGUCUGAACGAGCAACGCCGCGUGAGUGAAGAAGGUUUUCGGAUCGUAAAGCUCUGUUGUUAGAGAAGCGGUAACUAACCAGAAAGAGACGGCUAACUACGUGCCAGAAGCCGCGGUAAUAC
rnacentral:rRNA from 1 species